AUCCAUCUGAUGAGUCCUAAAUAGGACGGGACUCGCGUCCUGGAU
rnacentral:hammerhead_ribozyme from 1 species